rnacentral:tRNA from 1 species
UUAGAAGACACCUUCUUCUUUCAAUUGCUUAGAAAGCUCAGUAACAGACUUCACAAGUUUUUCAACGAUUUCGUCUACAUCGGCUUCGGUGAUGAUGAAGGAUGGAGCCAAGAGAAUACGGUCACUGCAGCUUUUAGUUGGAGUUGUUCCCAUUGCCAUGACGUUCAAGCCAUUUUGGAAGCAUUGUUCCUUAAUUCUGUUGGCAAUGCCUAAGGAUGGGUCGAAUGCUUCCUUUGUGUCUCUGUUAGAAACCAGUUCUACAGACCAGAAACCACCAAUACCUCUAACAUCACCUGCUAUGUUGUCUUCAGAUAGCAAUGCUUGCUUCAAUUUCUCACCCAUCAAGUUACCCAUCUUGAAGACAUUGGCAGUUAGGUUUUCCUUAGCAAUUUUUUGUUGGAUACCCAAGGCCACGGCACAGUUGAAAGCAUGGGAAGAGUAGGUGUGGCCACCGACAAUGGUGCCAGAACCCUUCACGUAAGCUUCCUUGAUCUUUGGGCCAAUCAAGAUACCUGCGAUAGUAACGUAACCAGAACCCAAGGUCUUACCAACAGUUUGGAUAUCUGGGCCGUCUUCAGGGGCCAAGAAAUUUUCCCAGCAGUUCAACUUUCCGUUAGGGUUGCUUCUACCAGUACCACACAUAACUUCAUCCAAGUAAAAGAUGAUGUCAUACUUGUUACACAAGUCCCUAAUACCCUUCAAGUAACCCUUUGGUGGUGGAGUAGUACCUAAGGAAGAACCUGGCAAGGUUUCCACGAUAAUAGCAGCUAUGGUGUCUGGAUCUUCGGUAAUGAUCUGCUCUUCAAUGGUCUUCAAAAGACGCUUAGAAUAGUCUUCCUCAGUCUCACCCUUUAGUUUGUUACGGUAUGUGUAUGCGCUUGGCAUUGUCAAACAAAUAUUCUUUUGGUCCAUGAAGUAGUCCUUGUAAGCGGUAAUUCUUGGGUUAUUCGAGAUGGCCAUGGCACCCAAAGUGAAACCGUGGUAAGAGUCCUCUCUGGAAAUCAAUUUCAACUUCUUUGGUAGGCCUCUUUCCAAGUAGUAUUGUCUGAUGAUUCUCAAGGCAUUUUCGUUACUCUCUGAACCGGAAGUAGUCCAUAGAGCAGAUUCGAACACACCCUUUGGAGAGUGUUCAAUGUAGAACUUUGAUAAUUCCUCAGCACUCUUGUUUGAGAUCAAACAUGGGUAAGAGUAAGUAGAUUCUCUUGCCGCCUUGUUAAUAAUGUCGUAGACUUCUUCAUCACCCCAACCCAAAGCACCAACAGCAGCACCUGUAAUCGCAUCUAAGAUGUUUUUGUGCACGACACCAUCUCUUUCGAUGUCGACACGUACACCUUUACCACCAACAACUUGAGAACCUGUCUUAUCAACUGUUGCUUGGAAAAGGUAUGAAGUGUUUGGAGUUUCUAAUGUAACUGUCAU